rnacentral:piRNA from 1 species
UGGAUCAAGGUGUCUAGAGACGAUGAAUC